GUAGACACGAGUUUGAUCCGUGGCUACAGGACGAACGCUGGCGGCGUGCUUAACACAUGCAAGUCGAACGAGAAUCUACUGAAAGAGUUUUCGGACAAUGGAAGUAGAGGAAAGUGGCGGACGGGUGAGUAACGCGUGAGGAACCUGCCUUGAAGAGGGGGACAACAGUUGGAAACGACUGCUAAUACCGCAUGAUGCAUAGGGGUCGCAUGAUCUUUAUGCCAAAGAUUUAUCGCUUCAAGAUGGCCUCGCGUCUGAUUAGCUAGUUGGCGGGGUAACGGCCCACCAAGGCGACGAUCAGUAGCCGGACUGAGAGGUUGAACGGCCACAUUGGGACUGAGAUACGGCCCAGACUCCUACGGGAGGCAGCAGUGGGGAAUAUUGGGCAAUGGGCGAAAGCCUGACCCAGCAACGCCGCGUGAAGGAAGAAGGCCUUCGGGUUGUAAACUUCUUUUAAGAGGGACGAAGAAGUGACGGUACCUCUUGAAUAAGCCACGGCUAACUACGUG
rnacentral:rRNA from 1 species